rnacentral:rRNA from 1 species
UACAGAGGUGGCAAGCGUUGUUCGGAAUUACUGGGCGUAAAGGGCGCGUAGGCGGCCCUCUUAGUCGGACGUGAAAUCCCCAGGCUCAACUUGGGAACUGCGUCCGAUACUGGAGGGCUCGAGUGCGGGAGAGGGACGUGGAAUUCCAGGUGUAGCGGUGAAAUGCGUAGAUAUCUGGAGGAACACCGGUGGCGAAGGCGGCAUCCUGGACCGACACUGACGCUGAGGCGCGAAAGCUAGGGGAGCAAACGGG